AAGAGGUGUGUAUAAAUCAUUUAGAACUGCUAACUCUAACAACUAAGAAUAACAUCCUUAGACCUCUUAC
rnacentral:tRNA from 1 species